CCCUUAGAUGUUCUGGGCUGCACGCGUGCUACAAUGGCGUUUCCAGCAAGUCUGCGAACCCGAGAGGGCCAGCGGAUCUUCGAAUUGGCGUCGUGAUCGGGACAGUCGAUUGCGAUUAUUUGACUCAAACGAGGAAUUCCUUGUAAUCGCGAUUCAUCAUAUCGCGCUGAAUACGUCCCUGCCCUUUGUACACACCGCCCGUCGCUCCUACCGAUUGAGCGAUCCGGUAAAUGUUUUGGAUUGGUGCCGGGGCGGCUAGCUGCCGGUCGCUACGAAAUUUUGUGAACCUUAUCGCUUAGAGGAAGGAAAAGUCGUAACA
rnacentral:rRNA from 1 species